GAUGAACGCUGGCGGCGUGCCUAAUACAUGCAAGUCGAGCGAACAGACGAGGAGCUUGCUCCUCUGACGUUAGCGGCGGACGGGUGAGUAACACGUGGAUAACCUACCUAUAAGACUGGGAUAACUUCGGGAAACCGGAGCUAAUACCGGAUAAUAUAUUGAACCGCAUGGUUCAAUAGUGAAAGACGGUUUUGCUGUCACUUAUAGAUGGAUCCGCGCCGCAUUAGCUAGUUGGUAAGGUAACGGCUUACCAAGGCAACGAUGCGUAGCCGACCUGAGAGGGUGAUCGGCCACACUGGAACUGAGACACGGUCCAGACUCCUACGGGAGGCAGCAGUAGGGAAUCUUCCGCAAUGGGCGAAAGCCUGACGGAGCAACGCCGCGUGAGUGAUGAAGGUCUUCGGAUCGUAAAACUCUGUUAUUAGGGAAGAGCAAAUGUGUAAGUAACUAUGCACGUCUUGACGAUACCUAAUCAGAAAGCCACGGCUAACUACGUG
rnacentral:rRNA from 1 species